ACUCUAAUAGUUUAUAAAAACAUUGGUC
rnacentral:tRNA from 3 species